rnacentral:rRNA from 1 species
UACGUAGGUGGCAAGCGUUGUCCGGAUUUAUUGGGUUUAAAGGGUGCGUAGGCGGCUUUGUAAGUCAGUGGUGAAAUAUGGCAGCUUAACUGUCAAGGUGCCAUUGAUACUGCGGAGCUUGAGUACAGAUGAGGUAGGCGGAAUUGACGGUGUAGCGGUGAAAUGCUUAGAUAUCGUCAAGAACACCUAUAGCGAAGGCAGCUUUCUAGGCUGUAACUGACGCUGAGGCACGAAAGUGUGGGGAUCAAACAGG